CGGGGGGGGGCAAGCGUUGUUCGGAAUUACUGGGCGUAAAGGGCGCGUAGGCUGUCCCGCAAGUCCUCCGUGAAAUCCCACAGCUCAACUGUGGAAUUGCGAGGGAAACUGCAGGACUUGAGUUCGGGAGAGGAGAGUGGAAUUCCCAGUGUAGCGGUGAAAUGCGUAGAUAUUGGGAGGAACACCGGUGGCGAAGGCGGCUCUCUGGACCGACACUGACGCUGAGGCGCGAAAGCUAGGGGAGCAAACGGGAUUAGAUACCCCGGUAGUCCUAGCCCUAAACGAUGAGCACUUGGUGUGGCGGGUAUCGACCCCUGCCGUGCCGAAGCUAACGCAUUAAGUGCUCCGCCUGGGGAGUACGGUCGCAAAGGCUG
rnacentral:rRNA from 1 species